GACCUCUUCUCUUCAGCCCUUGGGCUAGAAGCCCAGAUCAGCCCUGGGGGGAUCCCUGUCGGGGCUGCCAUGAGCUGGGCAGCCUUGUUUUCCUACCUCAGACAUUU